GACAGAGGGUGCAAACGUUGUUCGGAAUUACUGGGCGUAAAGCGCGUGUAGGCUGCUUGGAAAGUCGGAUGUGAAAGCCCUGGGCUCAACCUAGGAAGUGCAUUCGAAACUUCCGAGCUGGAGUUCUGGAGAGGAAGGCGGAAUUCUCGGUGUAGAGGUGAAAUUCGUAGAUAUCGAGAGGAACACCGGUGGCGAAGGCGGCCUUCUGGACAGUGACUGACGCUGAGACGCGAAAGCGUGGGGAGCAAACAGG
rnacentral:rRNA from 1 species